rnacentral:lncRNA from 1 species
UUGAAGUAUCUCUCUAAGUACAACAGGGCAAACAAAAUCCGACCAAAUUGAAAUGAACCAUAAUGCAUUAAAAGUUCAACACACAAAAAAAAAAAAAUCCUAGAUCAAAGGAUUCUACGGCAAACAAAACAUUGAGAAGCAUUUUCAUCCACAGUCCAAUUUCUCUGAUAAAAAAAUGGUGCUCUCACUCAGCAAAUUAUAUGCUAUCGCCACUCUUGCAAAUAUCGAGCUUUCUGAUCAAUAGAGUUACUGUGCUAGAAAUACAGCAUCUCAAUUAUUUUCUGCAAACUUUAACAUCAAGAGUACAGGUAGAGGAAUAUUCUUCGGCAAAAGUGGCAGCACUUCAAACUCUCCAAAGGUUGACAGUGCAGACGGUAAAUAAAGCUUAUCUGGUUGGAUGUUUACGCAAAGCUGCCUUGCCACCUGUAAAAAUUGAACAGCUUCAGUCAAUCAUCACAUUCAUAUUUCCACAGAUCACUUCUUUCAUGAUUACAUCUUGAUUUACAAAAAAUUGUUGGGUUAAGUAGGGAUCAGAUCACUAAAAUGAAUUCCAAACCUUCACAUGGGCGCAUACACAAGAAGAUUGAUUGCAGCAUGUUGAAAUCAAUAUGAUUGUGGUCAGACAGGGAACACCAGACAACCACUUUUAGAUUUAAGUUCUCAUGAAAUUUCCCAGUUCCACAAUGAAACACUCCAGGUAAAAUACUGUCUUCAAAAAUCAUCAGUUGCUCUUGACGCAAGGGAUACAAUUUAGCUCCUCAAUGCCCUCCACAGUAUAAUAUGGAAAUUUAUCACCCUUUUCUAGAAUAAAUAAUUUGUUUCAUUUUCAUAAAAAA